rnacentral:rRNA from 1 species
UUUCAACUUUUGACCUCGGAUCAGGUAGGGAUACCCGCUGAACUUAAGCAUA